GGCGAACGGUGAGUAAUAUAUCGGAACGUGCCCAGUCGUGGGGAUAACGUAGCGAAAGCUACGCUAAUACCGCAUACGAUCUAUGGAUGAAAGCGGGGAUCGCAAGACCUCGCGCGAUUGGAGCGGCCGAUAUCAGAUUAGGUAGUUGGUGAGGUAAAGGCUCACCAAGCCCGACGAUCUGUAGCUGGUCUGAGUGGACGACCAGCCACACUGGGGACUGAGACACGGCCCAGACUCCUACGGGAGGCAGCAGUGGGGAAUUUUGGACAAUGGGCGCAAGCCUGAUCCAGCAAUGCCGCGUGCAGGAUGAAGGCCUUCGGGUUGUAAACUGCUUUUGUACGGAACGAAACGGUGAGCUCUAAUACAGUUUGCUAAUGACGGUACCGUAAGAAUAAGCACCGGCUAACUCCGUG
rnacentral:rRNA from 1 species